rnacentral:rRNA from 1 species
GGAGGAAGGUUGGGAUGACGUCAAAUCAUCAUGCCCCUUAUGACCUGGGCUACACACGUGCUACAAUGGGCAGAACAAAGGGCAGCGAAGCCGCGAGGCUAAGCCAAUCCCACAAAUCUGUUCUCAGUUCGGAUCGCAGUCUGCAACUCGACUGCGUGAAGCUGGAAUCGCUAGUAAUCGCGGAUCAGCAUGCCGCGGUGAAUACGUUCCCGGGCCUUGUACACACCGCCCGUCACACCACGAGAGUUUGUAACACCCGAAGUCGGUGAGGUAACCUUUUGGAGCCAGCCGCGAAGGUGGGACAGAUGAUUGGGG